AAGCUUAUUAGGAUUAUAUUUAAGUUGGAAUUACGGACUUUGCUGAUGUAAAUAUUAGACUGGUUAUCUGAGGCUUCAU
rnacentral:snoRNA from 1 species